AUUGAACGCUGGCGGCAUGCCUUACACAUGCAAGUCGAACGGUAACGGGCCUUCGGGUGCCGACGAGUGGCGAACGGGUGAGUAAUGUAUCGGAACGUACCUUUCAGUGGGGGAUAACGUAGCGAAAGUUACGCUAAUACCGCAUACGAUCUACGGAUGAAAGCGGGGGAUCGCAAGACCUCGCGCGAAUGGAGCGGCCGAUGUCAGAUUAGGUAGUUGGUGGGGUAAAGGCUCACCAAGCCAACGAUCUGUAGCUGGUCUGAGAGGACGACCAGCCACACUGGAACUGAGACACGGUCCAGACUCCUACGGGAGGCAGCAGUGGGGAAUAUUGGACAAUGGGCGAAAGCCUGAUCCAGCCAUGCCGCGUGAGUGAUGAAGGCCCUAGGGUUGUAAAGCUCUUUCGCCAGGGACGAUAAUGACGGUACCUGGAUAAGAAGCCCCGGCUAACUUCGUGCCAGCAGCCGCGGUAAU
rnacentral:rRNA from 1 species